rnacentral:rRNA from 1 species
AUUGAACGCUGGCGGCAUGCCUUACACAUGCAAGUCGAACGGCAGCACGGGAGCAAUCCUGGUGGCGAGUGGCGAACGGGUGAGUAAUAUAUCGGAACGUGCCCAGUCGUGGGGAUAACGUAGCGAAAGCUACGCUAAUACCGCAUACGAUCUAUGGAUGAAAGCGGGGGAUCGCAAGACCUCGCGCGAUUGGAGCGGCCGAUAUCAGAUUAGGUAGUUGGUGAGGUAAAGGCUCACCAAGCCGACGAUCUGUAGCUGGUCUGAGAGGACGACCAGCCACACUGGGACUGAGACACGGCCCAGACUCCUACGGGAGGCAGCAGUGGGGAAUUUUGGACAAUGGGCGAAAGCCUGAUCCAGCAAUGCCGCGUGCAGGAAGAAGGCCUUC